AACGAACGCUGGCGGCAUGCCUAACACAUGCAAGUCGAACGGGAUCCUAGCUUGCUAGGUGAGAGUGGCGGACGGGUGAGUAACACGUGGGAAUCUGCCUUUUGGUUCGGGAUAACCGCGGGAAACUGCGGCUAAUACCGAAUGCCCUCGAGAGAGGAAAGAUUUAUCGCCAGAAGAGGAGCCCGCGUCCGAUUAGGUAGUUGGUGGGGUAAAGGCCUACCAAGCCGACGAUCGGUAGCUGGUCUGAGAGGAUGAUCAGCCACACUGGGACUGAGAUACGGCCCAGACUCCUACGGGAGGCAGCAGUGGGGAAUAUUGGACAAUGGGGGCAACCCUGAUCCAGCAAUGCCGCGUGAGUGAUGAAGGCCUUAGGGUUGUAAAGCUCUUUUGCCAGGGAAGAUGAUGACUGUACCUGGAGAAUAAGCCCCGGCUAACCUCCGUGCCAGCAGCCGCGGUAAU
rnacentral:rRNA from 1 species